GAUUGCUUCGGCAACACAUAUAACAAAAUUGGAAUAGGACAGAGAAGAUUAGCAUGGGCCCUGCACAAGGAUGACGUGCAAAUUCAUGAAGCAGUCAGUCCCUAUUUUA